rnacentral:rRNA from 1 species
GGUUAAGCGACUAAGCGUACACGGUGGAUGCCCUGGCAGUCAGAGGCGAUGAAGGACGUGCUAAUCUGCGAAAAGCGUCGGUAAGGUGAUAUGAACCGUUAUAACCGGCGAUGUCCGAAUGGGGAAACCCAGUGCAAUUCGUUGCACUAUCGUUAACUGAAUACAUAGGUUAACGAGGCGAACCGGGGGAACUGAAACAUCUAAGUACCCCGAGGAAAAGAAAUCAACCGAGAUUCCCCCAGUAGCGGCGAGCGAACGGGGAGCAGCCCAGAGUCUGAAUCAGCUUGUGUGUUAGUGGAACGGUCUGGAAAGUCCGACGGUACAGGGUGAUAGUCCCGUACACCAAAAUGCACAGGCUGUGAACUCGAAGAGUAGGGCGGGACACGUGGUAUCCUGUCUGAAUAUGGGGGGACCAUCCUCCAAGGCUAAAUACUCCUGACUGACCGAUAGUGAACCAGUACCGUGAGGGAAAGGCGAAAAGAACCCCGGCGAGGGGAGUGAAAAAGAACCUGAAACCGUGUACGUACAAGCAGUGGGAGCACCUUCGGGUGUGACUGCGUACCUUUUGUAUAAUGGGUCAGCGACUUAUAUUCUGUAGCAAGGUUAACCGUAUAGGGGAGCCGCAGGGAAACCGAGUCUUAACUGGGCGUUAAGUUGCAGGGUAUAGACCCGAAACCCGGUGAUCUAGCCAUGGGCAGGUUGAAGGUUGGGUAACACUAACUGGAGGACCGAACCGACUAAUGUUGAAAAAUUAGCGGAUGACUUGUGGCUGGGGGUGAAAGGCCAAUCAAACCGGGAGAUAGCUGGUUCUCCCCGAAAGCUAUUUAGGUAGCGCCUCGUGAAUUCAUCUUCGGGGGUAGAGCACUGUUUCGGCUAGGGGGUCAUCCCGACUUACCAACCCGAUGCAAACUACGAAUACCGAAGAAUGUUAUCACGGGAGACACACGGCGGGUGCUAACGUCCGUCGUGAAGAGGGAAACAACCCAGACCGCCAGCUAAGGUCCCAAAGUCAUGGUUAAGUGGGAAACGAUGUGGGAAGGCACAGACAGCCAGGAUGUUGGCUUAGAAGCAGCCAUCAUUUAAAGAAAGCGUAAUAGCUCACUGGUCGAGUCGGCCUGCGCGGAAGAUGUAACGGGGCUAAACCAUGCACCGAAGCUGCGGCAGCGACACUAUGUGUUGUUGGGUAGGGGAGCGUUCUGUAAGCCUGCGAAGGUGACCUGUGAGGGUUGCUGGAGGUAUCAGAAGUGCGAAUGCUGACAUAAGUAACGAUAAAGCGGGUGAAAAGCCCGCUCGCCGGAAGACCAAGGGUUCCUGUCCAACGUUAAUCGGGGCAGGGUGAGUCGACCCCUAAGGCGAGGCCGAAAGGCGUAGUCGAUGGGAAACAGGUUAAUAUUCCUGUACUUGGUGUUACUGCGAAGGGGGGACGGAGAAGGCUAUGUUAGCCGGGCGACGGUUGUCCCGGUUUAAGCAUGUAGGCUGGUUGUCCAGGCAAAUCCGGAUAAUCAAGGCUGAGGUGUGAUGACGAGGCACUACGGUGCUGAAGUAACAAAUGCCCUGCUUCCAGGAAAAGCCUCUAAGCAUCAGGUAACAUCAAAUCGUACCCCAAACCGACACAGGUGGUCAGGUAGAGAAUACCAAGGCGCUUGAGAGAACUCGGGUGAAGGAACUAGGCAAAAUGGUGCCGUAACUUCGGGAGAAGGCACGCUGGUGUGUAGGUGAAGCCCCCGCGGGUGGAGCUGAGACCAGUCGAAGAUACCAGCUGGCUGCAACUGUUUAUUAAAAACACAGCACUGUGCAAACACGAAAGUGGACGUAUACGGUGUGACGCCUGCCCGGUGCCGGAAGGUUAAUUGAUGGGGUUAUCCGUAAGGAGAAGCUCUUGAUCGAAGCCCCGGUAAACGGCGGCCGUAACUAUAACGGUCCUAAGGUAGCGAAAUUCCUUGUCGGGUAAGUUCCGACCUGCACGAAUGGCGUAAUGAUGGCCAGGCUGUCUCCACCCGAGACUCAGUGAAAUUGAACUCGCUGUGAAGAUGCAGUGUACCCGCGGCAAGACGGAAAGACCCCGUGAACCUUUACUAUAGCUUGACACUGAACAUUGAGCCUUGAUGUGUAGGAUAGGUGGGAGGCUUUGAAGCGUGGACGCCAGUCUGCGUGGAGCCAACCUUGAAAUACCACCCUUUAAUGUUUGAUGUUCUAACGUUGGCCCCUGACCGGGGUUGCGGACAGUGUCUGGUGGGUAGUUUGACUGGGGCGGUCUCCUCCCAAAGCGUAACGGAGGAGCACGAAGGUUAGCUAAUCCUGGUCGGACAUCAGGAGGUUAGUGCAAUGGCAUAAGCUAGCUUGACUGCGAGCGUGACGGCGCGAGCAGGUGCGAAAGCAGGUCAUAGUGAUCCGGUGGUUCUGAAUGGAAGGGCCAUCGCUCAACGGAUAAAAGGUACUCCGGGGAUAACAGGCUGAUACCGCCCAAGAGUUCAUAUCGACGGCGGUGUUUGGCACCUCGAUGUCGGCUCAUCACAUCCUGGGGCUGAAGUAGGUCCCAAGGGUAUGGCUGUUCGCCAUUUAAAGUGGUACGCGAGCUGGGUUUAGAACGUCGUGAGACAGUUCGGUCCCUAUCUGCCGUGGGCGCUGGAGAAUUGAGGGGGGCUGCUCCUAGUACGAGAGGACCGGAGUGGACGCAUCACUGGUGUUCGGGUUGUCAUGCCAAUGGCACUGCCCGGUAGCUAAAUGCGGAAGAGAUAAGUGCUGAAAGCAUCUAAGCACGAAACUUGCCCCGAGAUGAGUUCUCCCUGAGACUAUAAGUCUCCUGAAGGAACGUUAAAGACGAUGACGUUGAUAGGCCGGGUGUGUAAGCGCAGCGAUGCGUUGAGCUAACCGGUACUAAUGAACCGUGAGGCUUAACCUU